GCCGCAGCACCGCAUGGUGCAGGGGUAAAAACUCCGGUGGUGUGAGAUGGGCCCGCGUCUGAUUAGUUAGUUGGCGGGGUAACGGCCCACCAAGACGACGAUCAGUAGCCGACCUGAGAGGGUGACCGGCCACAUUGGGACUGAGACACGGCCCAAACUCCUACGGGAGGCAGCAGUGGGGAAUAUUGCACAAUGGGGGAAACCCUGAUGCAGCGACGCCGCGUGAGCGAAGAAGUAUUUCGGUAUGUAAAGCUCUAUCAGCAGGGAAGAAAUUGACGGUACCUGACUAAGAAGCACCGGCUAAAUACGUGCCAGCAGCCGCGGUAAUACGUAUGGUGCAAGCGUUAUCCGGAUUUACUGGGUGUAAAGGGAGCGUAGACGGAGCAGCAAGUCUGGAGUGAAAACCCGGGGCUCAACCCCGGGACUGCUUUGGAAACUGUUGUUCUAGAGUGCUGGAGAGGUAAGUGGAAUUCCUAGUGUAGCGGUGAAAUGCGUAGAUAUUAGGAGGAACACCAGUGGCGAAGGCGGCUUACUGGACAGUAACUGACGUUGAGGCUCGAAAGCGUGGGGAGCAAACAGGAUUAGAUACCCUGGUAGUCCACGCCGUAAACGAUGACUGCUAGGUGUCGGGUGGCAAAGCCAUUCGGUGCCGCAGCUAAC
rnacentral:rRNA from 1 species